NNCCAGCUGACGAGUCCCAAAUAGGACGAAACGCGCGUCCUGGAU
rfam:Schistosoma rodhaini strain Burundi genome assembly, scaffold: SROB_scaffold0016557